rnacentral:rRNA from 1 species
CGAACGGGUGAGUAACGCGUGAGGAACCUGCCUCAAAGAGGGGGACAACAGUUGGAAACGACUGCUAAUACCGCAUAAGCCCACGGCUCGGCAUCGAGCAGAGGGAAAAGGAGCAAUCCGCUUUGAGAUGGCCUCGCGUCCGAUUAGCUAGUUGGUGAGGUAACGGCCCACCAAGGCGACGAUCGGUAGCCGGACUGGGAGGUUGAACGGCCACAUUGGGACUGAGACACGGCCCAG